rnacentral:rRNA from 1 species
UACGGAGGGAGCGAGCGUUGUCCGCCGUUACUGGUCGUAAAGCGCGCGUAGGCGGGCAAUUAAGUGAGAAGUGAAAGGCUGGGGCUCAACCCCAUGCAGUGCUCCUCAUACUGGUUUUCUUGAGGGUGGUAGAGAGAAGUGGAAUGGCUGGUGUAGCGGUGAAAUGCGUAGAUAUCAGUCGGAACACCAGUGGCGAAGGCGGCUUCUUGGGCCAUUACUGACGCUGAGGCGCGAAAGCCAGGGGAGCGAACGGG